UCCAGCAUGGCAUAAUGGUGUGAGUGUUGGACUAUGACUCUGGAGACCAGGGUUUGAUUCCCUGCUUUGCCA
rnacentral:tRNA from 1 species